rfam:Daphnia magna strain Xinb3 scaffold01581, whole genome shotgun sequence.
CAAACGGCCCUUUUCAGGGCCACCAGAUGUUAAAGAAACAAAGAAU